GAUGAACGCUAGCGGCAGGCCUAAUACAUGCAAGUCGGACGGGAUUGGAGAGCUUGCUUUCCAUGAGAGUGGCGCACGGGUGCGUAACACGUAUGUAACCUACCUUUAUCAGGGGGAUAGCCUCUCGAAAGAGAGAUUAAGCCCGCAUAACAUCACGAUAUAGCAUUAUAAUGUGAUCAAAUAUUUAUAGGAUAAAGAUGGGCAUGCGGAACAUUAGCUAGUUGGUAAGGUAAUGGCUUACCAAGGCUACGAUGUUUAGGGGAUCUGAGA
rnacentral:rRNA from 1 species